rnacentral:rRNA from 1 species
UAGGGAAUCUUCCGCAAUGGACGCAAGUCUGACGGAGCAACGCCGCGUGAGUGAAGAAGGAUUUCGGUUCGUAAAACUCUGUUGUUAGAGAAGAACAGCGCAUAGAGUAACUGUUAUGCGUGUGACGGUAUCUAACCAGAAAGCCACGGCUAACUACGUGCCAGCAGCCGCGGUAAUACGUAGGUGGCAAGCGUUGUCCGGAUUUAUUGGGCGUAAAGCGAGCGCAGGCGGUCAAUUAAGUCUGAUGUGAAAGCCCCCGGCUCAACCGGGGAGGGUCAUUGGAAACUGGUUGACUUGAGUGCAGAAGAGGCGAGUGGAAUUCCAUGUGUAGCGGUGAAAUGCGUAGAUAUAUGGAGGAACACCAGUGGCGAAGGCGACUCUCUGGUCUGUAGCUGCCGCUGAGGCUCGAAAGCGUAGGUAGCAAACAGG